rnacentral:sRNA from 1 species
CUGACAGCAUUGGAGAUUGAAGCCUCUUGCUUAUCCACAGAACAGGUACUGCCCAGUUCUCAGCAGUGCAGGCCUCCUGACAUUGUCCCACCCAUGUGCCUCAACAACCAAUCCAGAGACGUGAUGAUCUCUAGAAGUCAAAUGCUAGUUCAGUCAGUCUCCUUGCUAAAUGAAUGACCAACUGGU